AUGUGAUUGAUAAUUAUCUUGUUUUUCUUUCAGGCUGGGUCACGACCUCACGUCAUCUUCGCUAAAAGUGAGGUUAGGAUCACCGUCUAUGAUGAUGGUUCCGCGAACAAGGCUCUUCCUACUGGUUUCGAGGCAGACAUUGAGGUGAUAGACCUCUUCGACCCUCAAGAAUACAAAGCCUUCAUGAGGUCCAACGCCUACCCUCACAUACGGCGCCUCCUCCUCGGCUAGUGACCCUGCGGUGCCAACACUCACUACGUCGCCAACACCACGUCGCGAAGGAUAUUGUGACGUCGAUAGUGUCCUUCUAGAUGAUACCCUUGCGGUGCUUACACUGGAAAAAUGCCCUUGUGAUGCCUUCACUGAUAGACUAUUUAAUUAAGCCUUGCGGUGGCUACACGGAAAGAAAAGUUAUCACCGUGGUACCUACAGUGAAAGAUUUAUUAUCCCUGUCGUGCUUACAGUGAAAGAGUACUUAAUCUUAAAGUGCCUACAGUGAAAGAGUAUUUAUCCUCACAGUGCCUACAGUGAAAGAGUGCCUACAAACACUAAGAGAGAGAUAAAAGACACUGAACUGAAAACGAGUGUGACAUAAUGGACAUAAGACUAUGGGACACCUUUUAUCAGCUUAUCAGGAACAGCUCUCAUUGAUAUCGUAUUUAUCGAAUCGAGUGUUCUAGAAGCGAUGACGUCAUUAUUACCAUGGUGAUUGAUACCUGUCGAUGACGUAAGGUUUCAGAAGAAUUCAGAAGAAUUUGGAGUAAAGGGAGAAGAGAGUCCUUAGAGUAAGGAGGGGAAGAAAAGCUGAGGAACUAUGCCUGUAAAAGGAAAUAAGUAGGAGGUAAAAGUGGGGGGGCGAAACCCCUUGCUUGGUGGUUUGGUUGUUAUGGGGCACAUCAGGUGUUGACAGCAGAGAUGGAUGGUUAAAUAUUUAUGUACAUAUGCAUGUACAUAAAAUUAGAUAUAAAGCUAAAAUCUAGCUAAUAUCUAUAUGACUUUUUUUUGUCUGCUAUUGUUCGCAUCGUGAGGGGAAUCCCCGCAAAAAUAAUUAAUAUUACCUUUAUUUCAAAUGUGGUGAUUCACCAUGACGCCAGUGUUUAUAUUUUGGAGAUACUGAUGACUACCUUCUUAGUAUCUUUCAGGUCAAGGACGGACUAUGUGAUGGAAACGGGCAUUAGAGAAAUCGCUCUUGUAACAGGUCGAUGCCCCGUUUCUCUUGUUUGCCGUUCUCUCUUUCGUUUAAAAUCGAUUAAUCCUUCACUUUCUUUUUUCUUUCGUUUUUUUUUAUUGAUUUCUUAUUCGUACAGUUCUUUAUAUUUUCCUUUCGCUGUUUUUUUUCUUUACUCUAGUUCUAUUUUCUUCUUCUUCUUCUUCUUCUUCUUAUUAUUAUUAUUAUUAUUAUAGAAUCGGCGAGUCCCUUGAGGGGCGUGAAGGGCUCGGCUCCUGUUCAAAAGCGAUUCCUUAUCCCCUUAAUAAAUAAUAUGUAUAACGUAUGUUUAAUGUAUCUUACACACACACACACACACACACACACACACACACACACACACACACACACACACACACACACACACACACACACACACACACACACACACACACACUCACACACACACACACACAAAGCAUUGGUUAAUUAAAGCGAUUAUCAAAACAUAAACCAGCAUGUGUAUUUCGAUGCCGCUAAUGGGUUUAUGAUUUUUUUUGAUUUUGUAAAAUAUAAGUUGUAUGAUACUACCCCCUCCUUCGUUUUAUGUAAGCUAUAAACAAGAGUCUGUUAUGAAGACCCUGUUAAAUCUGUGAUGUGUUUUUUUUAUGAUAUAACAGUCGUGUAUGUGACUGAGAUAGACCUUAGUUCACUUUCUGUUUUUUUAUAUAUAUAUAUAUAUAUAUAUAUAUAUAUAUAUAUAUAUAUAAAGUGAUCGAAUGAUACAAUAAUAAUCAUGGUCUUGCUCUCUUAAAACAAAAGAAAAGAAAAAGAAAAAAGAAAAAAAAAAUACACACUUUAAGUUACCAUUCCAGUGUAUCUUGCAAUAAGUACGGACGCUGGAUUCUGCACCAUGCUUUGUAAAUAAUUGCACAAAAAAAAUGGCAAAAGACUAAUUCAAUAUUAGUUAACUUGCUAUUCGAAUUUCUCCCUGGAAAUCUAACAGCUAAUCUAUACGAAAAAUGUACGUAGAAAUCUUGCUAUUGAACUUGUCAUGAUUGCAACAAUUUUCCAGUUGAACCUUUCAUCAAUAAUGAAAGGUUCGUAGAAAAUUUACAUUUCUUAAUCAUUUCCUUUAUGGCGUCGCUAUUUUUUAUCUGAAUUAGGAAUUUACAGGUUCCGAUACAGGUCAUAGUAAUCUAACUAUCUCACCUGUAUUUUAGUCCUGUAGUCCUCACAGGUUAGAGUGACUGUCUUUGUAAUGCCAUAUUGUAGUUACCUGAUUAAACUAUAGCUGUGUAA
rnacentral:lncRNA from 1 species